rnacentral:rRNA from 1 species
UACGGGGGGAGCAAGCGUUGUUCGGAUUUACUGGGCGUAAAGGGCGCGUAGGCGGUCAGCACAAGUCAGUUGUGAAAUCUCCGGGCUUAACUCGGAAAGGUCAACUGAUACUGUGCGACUAGAGUGCAGAAGGGGCAACUGGAAUUCUCGGUGUAGCGGUGAAAUGCGUAGAUAUCGAGAGGAACACCUGCGGCGAAGGCGGGUUGCUGGGCUGACACUGACGCUGAGGCGCGAAAGCCAGGGGAGCGAA